rnacentral:rRNA from 1 species
AGUGAACGCUGGCGGUAGGCCUAACACAUGCAAGUCGAACGGCAGCACAGUAAGAGCUUGCUCUUACGGGUGGCGAGUGGCGGACGGGUGAGGAAUACAUCGGAAUCUACUUUUUCGUGGGGGAUAACGUAGGGAAACUUACGCUAAUACCGCAUACGACCUACGGGUGAAAGCAGGGGAUCUUCGGACCUUGCGCGAUUGAAUGAGCCGAUGUCGGAUUAGCUAGUUGGCGGGGUAAAGGCCCACCAAGGCGACGAUCCGUAGCUGGUCUGAGAGGAUGAUCAGCCACACUGGAACUGAGACACGGUCCAGACUCCUACGGGAGGCAGCAGUGGGGAAUAUUGGACAAUGGGCGCAAGCCUGAUCCAGCCAUACCGCGUAGGUGAAGAAGGCCUUCGGGUUGUAAAGCCCUUUUGUUGGGAAAGAAAAGCAGCAGGUUAAUACCCCGCUGUUCUGACGGUACCCAAAGAGUAAGCACCGGCUAACUUCGUG